rnacentral:tRNA from 1 species
GAGUAAAUGGCGAAAUUGGUAAACGCAUCACACUCAAAAUGUGACGAAAAUUUUCUUAAGGGUUCAAUUCCCUUUUUACUCA